UCUCUAUGUAGACCUCACUAUACUAUUUUCCAUCAAUUUGAUACCAAAAGCAGCGACACUCUUUUUCUUUUUCUCCUCAAGGUUCCACCCUCAUAACAAAAACAAAAAAAUUAUCUUUCACCUUCCGCUUCCAAGACUCUUGCUAGCAUUGUGAAUUCUGUUGAGAAGUGAAUAAGCAACUGAAAGGAAGAAGAUAAUUCUUGGGCUGUUGACAUCGAAUCGCUUUGGUGCUAACACUUACCCCUAUAAACCGCAAAAUGCAGUUCAAAGUGAGCUUAUUGUCCUUUUUACAUGCUGUAGCAUUUUCUGAACGAGAUUAAUCUCGGUUUAAUAAACAAGUCUAUCAU